rnacentral:rRNA from 1 species
UACGUAGGUGGCGAGCGUUGUCCGGAAUUACUGGGUGUAAAGCGCGCGUAGGCGGGAGGCCAAGUCCGCUGUGAAAUCGCCCGGCUCAACUGGGCGCGGUCGGUGGAAACUGGUCACCUGGAGGACGGUAGAGGCGAGUGGAAUUCCCGGUGUAGUGGUGAAAUGCGUAGAGAUCGGGAGGAACACCAGUGGCGAAGGCGGCUCUCUGGGACGGUACUGACGCUGAGACGCGAAAGCGUGGGGAGCGAACAGG